AGUGAACGCUGGCGGUAGGCCUAACACAUGCAAGUCGAACGGCAGCACAGUAAGAGCUUGCUCUUACGGGUGGCGAGUGGCGGACGGGUGAGGAAUACAUCGGAAUCUACUUUUUCGUGGGGGAUAACGUAGGGAAACUUACGCUAAUACCGCAUACGACCUACGGGGGAAAGCAGUGGAUCUUCUGACCUUGCGCGAUUGAAUGAGCCGAUGUCGGAUUAGCUAGUUGGCGGGGUAAAGGCCCACCAAGGCGACGAUCCGUAGCUGGUCUGAGAGGAUGAUCAGCCACACUGGAACUGAGACACGGUCCAGACUCCUACGGGAGGCAGCAGUGGGGAAUAUUGGACAAAGGGCGCAAGCCUGAUCCAGCCAUACCGCGUGGGUGAAGAAGGCCUUCGGGUUGUAAAGCCCUUUUGUUGGGAAAGAAAAGCAGCAGGUUAAUACCCCGCUGUUCUGACGGUACCCAAAGAAUAAGCACCGGCUAACUUCGUG
rnacentral:rRNA from 1 species